CUUGAAUAUUUUAUAUUCAAUUGAAUAUAAUAAAUAAAAAGCAUUUUUGUUUUCAAAUCAAAUAAAUCAUUAUUUAUCGGUAAUUCGUUGGAACAAAAAAAGGGGUUCGGCUAGGUAUUGACCAGGCCAGGCCGUCAGAAUAAGAAGGGCCUUUCGAACAAAAUCAACAUAAAGAUGUCUUUUUUUUUUUUUAAUUUAUAGGCUCGUUCGAGCCCUUCCUUUAUCUAAUUAUCUAAUCUAAAAGAAAUUCCUUAUUUGUAUAUCUCUAUAGAAUAGAGAAAGAAAGACUCCUUACAAUAUGUGUAAUGUAGUAAUUCUCUUUUUCAAUUGGGAGAGAUGGCUGAGUGGACUAAAGCGUUGGAUUGCUAAUCCGUUGUAUGAGUUAUUUGUACCAAGGGUUCGAAUCCCUUUCUUUCCGGUUCCGUUGAUGACUUGAUUUAUUUAUUUAUUUUUCAAAAUUUUGAAAUCUUAGUUAAACUAUGAAAUAGAUAAAAUCCUAAGAAAAAUUGAAAAUUAACCAAGGAAAAACCCUUUGGAUUUUAUUCUUCACGACCAGGUUUAUGUCCUGGAUCAUUAGAUAGGAAUCCAAAGAUGAAGAGAGAAACAAAAAAUAUAAUUACUAUAUAAAUGAAGAGUUUCAGAGUAAGCAUUACGCAAUCUCCAAGAUGAUUUUUUUUGGAAAAAAAAAGGAGAGAGAAUAGAUCGUCCAUUUUUUUACCACAUAUCCUAUUUUGAUGCCAAGAGAUGAGGUUUUUCUAGAAAUAGAAAUGACUUGUUAGAAAUUUAUUUGUAAUAAGAGUUUUUCAUUAACAAAAAUUUCGUUCAUAUCUAAAAUCGAUAUUGUGGGAGACCCUAAUAUAAUUAAAUUAAUAUAAUAAGGUUAGGGUCUUUCACUGGAUAUAUGGUCAAAAAAAGGAGGAAAUGGGGUAAGCCGGAUUUAUGGCGACUAUCCAAGAGUUUCAAUGUGUGAAUCGAGGGUUUAGACUCUAAAACUUAUUUGAUUUUAUCAAUUGUUAGAGAAUUUCUUCUCAAAGAAGCCAUGAAUCUUCUAGGAUAUUAUUAAGGAUCUCAUCGAAAACUUACAGUAGCUUGCCAAACAAAGGCUAAGAGAAAAAAAAAAAAAACAAAGGUGUGACUUGCUUAACAUCUACAAUUGGAUUCAAAAAAGCAUAGGCUUCAGGCAAUUUACCAAAGAAAAAACUACUCAAAUAAAGGGCUGAAUUAAGACAGAUACAGAUGAAACUAAAGAUAUUGAGGAUAACAGACAUUUUGUUCUUGGAGAUAAUUGCAUUUUGAUUAAGUUAUUGAUAUAAGGAAAAAGAAAGAAAGGGAGUAAGGUAUACAAAAAAUCCUUCUUUUUCUUUGAACCCGCCCAAUCAAAAAUCCUCCAAUUCUCAUAGGAGAAUAGAAGAAAUCAUACUUUGAUACAAUAUCUUAAUUGAAUUAUAUGUAAUGAUCAAUAAAUUAAGUUGAAUUCUAUAUCUAUAUGUAUUAAAAUCCUAGUGAUAAUCUAUUCUAUAGAUAUUUGGACUGGAGUUGACAAACAACCAAUAACAAUAUUAUUGUUUCUUAGUGUAGAUUAGAAAUUGAUAANGGUUUGGCUAGGUACUGACCAGGCCAGGCCGUCAGAAUAAGAAGGGCCUUUCGAACAAAAUAAACAUAAAGAUGUCUUUUUUCUUUUUUUAAUUUAUAGGCUCGUUCGAGCCUUUCCUUUAUCUAAUUAUCUAAUCAAAAAGAAAUUCCUUAUUUGUAUAUCUCUAUAGAAUAGAGAAAGAAAGACUCCUUACAAUAUGUGUAAUGUAGUAAUUCUCUUUUUCAAUUGGGAGAGAUGGCUGAGUGGACUAAAGCGUCGGAUUGCUAAUCCAUUGCAUGAGUUAUUUGUAACGGGGUUCGAAUCCCUCUCUUUUCGGUUACGUUGAUGACUUGAUUUAUUUAUUUAUUUUUCAAAAUUCUGAAAUCUUAGUUAAAUUGUGAAAUAGAUAAAAUCUUAAGAAAAAUUGAAAAUUAACCAAGGAAAAACCAUUUGGAUUUUAUUCUUCACGACCAAGAUUACGUCCUGGAUCAUUAGAUAGGAAUCCAAAGAUGAAGAGAGAAACAAAAAAUAUAAUUACUAUAUAAACGAAGAGUUUCAGAGUAAGCAUUACGCAAUCUCCAAGAUGAUUUUUUUUUUUUUUUGGAAAAAAAAGGAGAGAGAAUAGAUCGUCCGUUUUUUUUUACCACAUAUCCUAUUUUGAUGCCAAGAGAUGAGGUUUUUCUAGAAAUAGAAAUGACUUGUCAGAAAUUUAUUUGUAAUAAGAGUUUUUCAUUAACAAAAAUUUCUUUCAUAUCCAAAUUUGAUAUUGUGGGAGACCCUAAUAUAAUUAAAUUAAUAUAAUAAGGUUAGGGUCUUUCACUAGAAAAAGGGUCAAAAAAAAGGAGGAAAUGGGGUAAGCCGGAUUUAUGGCGACUAUCCAAGAAUUUCAAUGUGUGAAUUGAGGGUUUAGACUCUAAAGCUUAUCUGAUUUUAUCAAUUGUUAGAGAAUUUCUUCUCAUGGAAGUCAUGAAUCUUUUAGGAUAUUAUUAAGUAUCUCAUCGAAAACAUACGGCAACUUGCCAAACAAAGGCUAAGAGAAAAAAAAAACACAGGUAUGACUUGCUUAACAUCUACAAUUGGAUUCAAAAAAGCAUAGGCUUCAGGCAAUUUACCGAAGAAAAAACUACUCAAAUAAAGGGCUAAAUUAAGACAAAUACAGAUCAAACUAAAGAUAUUGAGGAUAACAUACAUUUUGUUCUUGGAGAUAAUUGCAUUUUGAUUAAGUUAUUGAUAUAAGGAAAA
rnacentral:lncRNA from 1 species